CCGGAGCUACAUAUCACUAGUAGCUUGUUCCUCGGUACGGAAGUACCUUGCUACUUUGCCGGCGAGCGGCCGACGGGUGAGUAAUGUCUGGGAAACUGCCUGAUGGAGGGGGAUAACUACUGGAAACGGUAGCUAAUACCGCAUAACGUCGCAAGACCAAAGAGGGGGACCUUCGGGCCUCUUGCCAUCAGAUGUGCCCAGAUGGGAUUAGCUAGUAGGUGGGGUAACGGCUCACCUAGGCGACGAUCCCUAGCUGGUCUGAGAGGAUGACCACCCACACUGGAACUGAGACACGGUCCAGACUCCUACGGGAGGCAGCAGUGGGGAAUAUUGCACAAUGGGCGCAAGCCUGAUGCACCCAUGCCGCGUGUAUGAAGAAGGCCUUCGGGUUGUAAAGUACUUUCAGCGGGGAGGAAGGUGUUGAGGUUAAUAAUCUCAGCGAUUGACGUUACCCGCAGAAGACGCACCGGCUAACUCGGGGCCAGCCCCGCGGUUAUACGGAGGGCGCAAGC
rnacentral:rRNA from 1 species